rnacentral:misc_RNA from 1 species
CUGGCGUGCCCCGCUUCGCCG